rnacentral:lncRNA from 1 species
GAUAUGGCAGCUUUUAUUUUAGCCCUUAGGGACGAAAGCGGCAAUGUACUUGAUUGAAUUUUCUUUUCUUUUGAGAAUGUAGAAAGUUUCAACAUCUUUCUAGUCAAAUAGCAAGUUUUAUAAGCUUUAGCGUGAAAGAAAAAAAUAGAUAAGAUGCUGAAUGGCUCAUUAUUGAUACCUCCGGAUUAAGAAUGCUCCUAGUUGUUUGGAAGGUGAAGUUCAGGCAAAGUAUCGCCUUAGGAAUCUUGCAGAUACUGAUUCAGAAGGUCUGGGUGGUGCCUGAGAUUCAGCCCAAUAUAAGAAAGCUGACCCUUCAAGAUCUCUUGAAGAUGAGGACAGGCUGACGCUGGGCUAUAGUCUGAAAGUUUGAAAAUUUUCAUUCCAAAGGCAUAAACAUCCGCAGAACUUGUCAUUGCAAGAAGCAAAUGUUCCGACUGUGAGACUGUGAGACUGUGAUGCAGAAUUGGGUUCCAAAGCAAAUCUUUAGGCCUCACAAUAUCAAUUAACAUGAAUGGGCCAUCUUUGUAAAGGGAAUUUCUGUGAACCAAGUAGAAUUUUCUCUGAACUAAGCAGAAAAGCUUUAGCUGAUUGUAUGGGUGAAAAGGUCCAAAUAAAU